UAUUUGAAAAAAAUGGGUCAAAUGAAUCCUGGAUUGUUAUCAACAACUGUUUGUUUAUUUGUUUGUUUGUGAUUGAAGCUGUUUGUGUUUCUACAGCUUUGUCUAGCGAUGAACCUGGAAAUGAAAAUGUACUUGAUGCUGGCUGUCUCUUGGAUGUUCUCAGGCUUUACCGGUGGCACAUUAGCUCAUUUGAAGAGCAGGAUGCUCAUGAACUGUUCCAUGUUUUGACAUCAUCGCUGGAGGAAGAACGGGAUUGUCAACCUAAAGUUGCUCACUUGUUUGACAUGCAGUGCCUAGAGAGUCUUCCUGAUCAAGGUGAAGAAACACUGACCUG